rnacentral:rRNA from 1 species
UAGCUACAGGCUUAACACAUGCAAGUCGAGGGGAAACGACAUCGAAAGCUUGCUUUUGAUGGGCGUCGACCGGCGCACGGGUGAGUAACGCGUAUCCAACCUGCCCACCACUUGGGGAUAACCUUGCGAAAGUAAGACUAAUACCCAAUGACGUCUCUAGAAGACAUCUGAAAGAGAUUAAAGAUUUAUCGGUGAUGGAUGGGGAUGCGUCUGAUUAGCUUGUUGGCGGGGUAACGGCCCACCAAGGCGACGAUCAGUAGGGGUUCUGAGAGGAAGGUCCCCCACAUUGGAACUGAGACACGGUCCAAACUCCUACGGGAGGCAGCAGUGAGGAAUAUUGGUCAAUGGACGAGAGUCUGAACCAGCCAAGUAGCGUGCAGGAUGACGGCCCUAUGGGUUGUAAACUGCUUUUAUAAGGGAAUAAAGUGAGUCUCGUGAGACUUUUUGCAUGUACCUUAUGAAUAAGGACCGGCUAAUUCCGUGCCAGCAGCCGCGGUAAUACGGAAGGUCCGGGCGUUAUCCGGAUUUAUUGGGUUUAAAGGGAGCGUAGGCCGGAGAUUAAGCGUGUUGUGAAAUGUAGACGCUCAACGUCUGCACUGCAGCGCGAACUGGUUUCCUUGAGUACGCACAAAGUGGGCGGAAUUCGUGGUGUAGCGGUGAAAUGCUUAGAUAUCACGAAGAACUCCGAUUGCGAAGGCAGCUCACUGGAGCGCAACUGACGCUGAAGCUCGAAAGUGCGGGUAUCGAACAGGAUUAGAUACCCUGGUAGUCCGCACGGUAAACGAUGGAUGCCCGCUGUUGGUCUGAAUAGGUCAGCGGCCAAGCGAAAGCAUUAAGCAUCCCACCUGGGGAGUACGCCGGCAACGGUGAAACUCAAAGGAAUUGACGGGGGCCCGCACAAGCGGAGGAACAUGUGGUUUAAUUCGAUGAUACGCGAGGAACCUUACCCGGGCUUGAAUUGCAGAGGAAGGAUUUGGAGACAAUGACGCCCUUCGGGGCCUCUGUGAAGGUGCUGCAUGGUUGUCGUCAGCUCGUGCCGUGAGGUGUCGGCUUAAGUGCCAUAACGAGCGCAACCCCUCUCCUUAGUUGCCAUCAGGUCAAGCUGGGCACUCUGGGGACACUGCCACCGUAAGGUGUGAGG